GGGGAGAUAACCACUGAAUCACUGACAAAAUCCUUUAGCCCUGUUGUGAGACUGUCACAGAGAACCAGGAAAUUGCCUGGUCAUUUAAAAGAUUAUGAACUGAAGUAAAAAAAAUAAAAAUAAAUGAAUUAUAUUGUAACAUGAUUGUUGAAUGAAGUUUAUUGUAUUGUGAUUUAUGAAGAAAUAUUGUAAACUUGAAGGAAGGAGAUGUUAUAGACUGAGCUAUGGUUUAUUGACCUGUAGGGGGUAAUCUAUUGCUGUUUUUUUCAAUUACCAUAAAAGGUAAUUGAAGUUCACGCAAUCUCACUAAUUUGAUCCAGGUUUAUCUAGUCUAGAUAAUUGCGCGUACACGCUAUUCUUAAGAAGCCCUGAUAGUGGAGCAUGGAUUCAUCAAUUUACCAUGGCAACUAAGGGGAAAGAAAGAGCAGCGAUGUUCACUGCGACUGAGCAGCGUUUGCUUCUCGAGACUUACAAAGAAUUUAAACAUAUGAUUACCAAAAAAGGGAAUACCGCAGCUAUUAAUAAAACGAGAGAGAGGCUGGCAGGAAAUUGCUGAUCGUCUCAAUGCGUAAGUAGCAACUAAUAUGAAAUGUAAAUUUUCACUAACAUGAAAUGUACAAAAUGUACUAUAUUUUACUAAAGUGAAAUUAAAUAUUUGCCACAACACAUUGAAGUGUGUGUGUGUGUGUAUAACUACCUUUUACAGCAGCAAUUUAAGUGAAGAAAAAAGAACAUGACAGCAGGUGAAAAUAAAAUUAUAAAAAUAUUGUUCAGAAUGGUAAGUAUAGUCUAUGUAAGUACUUAAGCAUAACCAGCUUGAUGUUACAACUGUCCAGUCUCAUGAUGUUUAUUAAUUGCAGCUGCCAAAAAGAAGAGUGAGGUUGCUGGCACUGGGGGAGGGCCACCGACAGCCAACUUUGCUCCUGCAGAGGAGCUGGCAUUAGAAAUGAACAAAGGGAGGCCUGUCAUUAAGGGAAUAGAGGGGGGAACAGUAUCUGAAUCCAUUCCACCUAGUAUAAGAAAUGACUACUUAAAAGGUGUUUUUUAUUUUUUUAUUUAUUUUUUUAUUCUUGCAUUCCUAACCAAAUCUUUUCGUUUCAUAGUGAUGCCAAAUUCUGUGUGCUUGCUGGAUCCACCAGACAUCAUGCUGAACCCUGUUGAAGGCCCAUAUACAGUUGAAGAGGAUGAGGAGACUGUGUCAGUAUGUUCAAGGAGGCCUGAGGUAGGCACAGAUUUGCACAUUAUAUAUUUAAAAGCCUACCUGUGAGGUGCUAAAUAGUGUGUAUUUCCAUUAUUAUUAUGAUUGGCAGCAGGAUGCUGACGCCCUCUCAGUCUGGGACCACAUGUGACCAAGUGAGUAUUAAGAAAUUACAAAAAAGUGCCAAAAGCACUCAAUCAAAUAACUGAAAUUUCUGUUCCUACAGAACCCUGAGAACAUAAAGGGAGUCUACAAAUGUUAUCUCCGGAAACGAAUGGAAGCCAUAGAUACUGACAUGCAAUAUAAAAAAGUCAAGAUAAGGAAGUUGGAGCUGGAAAUCCAACAGCUUGACAAAAAUGCAAGUAGAACUGCCAUAUUAAAAACAAUGGCACAUGACCUUUUUGUUUUUUGACAACAUUUAAUUGUAUGUUUUCACCUUCAAUAGGCAGCUUCAACCUGAAUAAAAAAUAAUGACUUGUGUGUCUAAAUUAAGGG
ensembl:lncRNA